CAGCGAUCAUCUAGGUCUACGUCUGGAAAACAGAGUUUCUGGCUCAUACUCAGAAUGAAGCAGCUCUUUAAUGCUACACACUUACACUUUUACUCAGCAAGUAUUUAUUGAGCCCCAACUGAACAGGAGUAUAAUGUCUUAGGGGAAGACGUAAACAUGGCAAUCGAUGGCAAUUUCUCCAUCACACUUUUCCAGAACCUCAGAGAAUUACCUGUAUUGAUCAGAACAAGGGUAGAGAUUUUCAGGCCUUUGAAAACAUUUCACAGGCAUUUGGAAGUGAACUAGCUGAUGGAAGAAAUCUCUUUCUCUCUCACUUUUACUUUCUUGCUCUGCCCUGGAAAUAAAUAAAAUUAAGUCUUGCUUCACUAUACUUACAGAAUAUGGGCUGGUUUUUAUUUUCAACUGUGGGCCUCAAGAUUCAUAGAGAAUGAGACAGAUUAUCCAACACAGAAGGGAAAGGGUAUUCUCUAAGGUAGGUGAUUUAUGGGCAGGAUACCUUUGUAAUAUCAUGUAAACUAAAGUCAAUUAACAAAAAGGAGUAGGAAAGAUCAUCACUCAUGGACAAUUUAUAACAUUACAAAAAAGCAGCAUGCUUAGGUGAUUGUGAAACACACAAACAUUUUUUUGUUGUUGUUACUGGUCAUCCAAGUCUGUGCAUUGGUAAUCUUAUUUACCAUCAUCAUCAACAUCAUUGCUAUUAUUUAUUUAUUUCCCCUUUGCUAUUACUUUAUAAGACUUGAACAUUUACUCCUGCAUCAAGCACCCAAAUGCCUGAGUUCAUUUUACCUGUUUCGUAAGAAAAUUGAAUUAAAGAAGCCAGCGCCGUGGCUCACUAGGCUAAUCCUCCACCUUGCGGUGCCGGCACACUGGGUUCUAGUCCCGGUCGGGGUGCCGGAUUCUGUCCUAGUUGCCCCCUUCCAGGCCAGCUCUCUGCUGUGGCCAGGGAUUGCAGUGGAGGAUGGCCCAAGUACUUGGGCCCUGUACCCACAUGGGAGACCAGGGUAAGCACCUGGCUCCUUCCAUCAGAUCAGCGCGGUGCGCCGGCCAGCGGCGACCAUUGGAGGGUGAACCAUCGGCAAAGGAAGACCUUUCUCUCUGUCUCUCUCUCUCAUUGUCCACUCUGCCUGUCAAAAAAAAUUGAAUUAAAAUUUGAAAUUCUCACAAAAGAACUUUUUUGUGUUCAUGUAAAUCUUAGGCCUCUCUAAAUUCCUUCCAAGGCAGCUAUUUCAAGUGUGUACUGUACCAGUCUAGCUAGUCAAAGUCUGAACAAGGUCACAGAGUUUGUUGAGUCAGAUGGCAUUUCUUGUGUAGAACUCAAAAUUCUACAUCAUCUUUGAAUUGUAUCCAAUUGAGCAAGAUCCCAGCUGUCCUAGUAUCUGUUGAAAACAUAAGACUGACCUACUUUAAAUUGGUUUUCUACAUUAUUAUGGAGAGCUUUUAGUUUUUCAAGACUGCAAGAAGAAUGCAAGUUUAUUUUAGAAAAUUUGAAAAAUACCAAGAUUAAACAGAAACAGCAACUACUAAUAUUUUGACCUACAAUUCUCAAGAUUUUGUUUUGCUAUUUUUCCUGUUUCACUGUUCAUAGUGUUGGGAAAAAAAAGCAAUGGGUGAUUUUGAACCAGAAAUUACCCAUUUCUGAAUAAACUGAAAGACUUUGUAGAGAUGCUCUUACCACAGUAAUAAAGGGUGAGCAACAGUAGCAGAUUGCAUUGUUCCUGUGCUUUGGCAAGGUUACGUCCCUUAGAGCUAUUGCCAGAAAGAAAAUACCAACAUUUGUCGUUUUUUUCUCCUUCAAAUACAACAUGUUUCCAGAAAUUGAAGUAGGAAAGAAUUAUUGCAUAAAGAGAGGGAGGAAGGUUAAAACGGCUCUGAGUGCCUCAAGAACCAGUGCUAGUAUUAUAAGGGAGUGACUUAUUUCCUUCUGACCACAAAGAUGCCUGUGUCUGUGGUGGGGGUGGUGAAUGAUUGUAAUCCUGGAGAGCGAACAGAAAUGCAUCGCAGGGUUGCUUUAUGUGCACCUGCUCUUUUGCCUCAAGGCUUUAUCAGAACUUUGGUUAGUCAACAUUGUAUUGGUAUUUGCCAGAUUAAAAACAAUGUUCCAAUUUCCAGUUUUGUUCAGUCUUUCCAUAUCACUUUUUGCUUAGAGUUGUCUUUCAAUGGGAAUGUGAGGAGGGGUCAACCAGACUUCUUAACUGCUCUUUAACUUGGAAAGCUAUCAUUAUUGUCAUUAUGCAUGUUCCUAUUCUGAGUCAUUAGUGGUUAUUUAACUACCCAGAUAUUUUUCAGUGUUAGUCAGUGAGAUGUAUUUCCACUGCCUGAAACAAUGCCUAGGAUUGAAUAGGUAUUGAGAAAGUAUGAAGAGUGUCAAUAAGUUAAUUUUCUAAGAGAUAGCAAUCUAUGGCUAGGUAUUAAUUACACAAAACUAACCUAAUUUUCAUUUAGUCAUAUUUCAUUAAUUUAGUAGAGACAUCUGAUCAAUGUGGUGCAAGUCAAAAAUGCUAAAAUGCAUAUGUGAGAAGCCGGGUAUAAAUGUUAGACAGAAAUAUGAUAAAAUAAUGUUGACCAUUUAGAUUUUAUGCAAUAUAAGACAGCUUCAUUUUGGUCAAUGAGUAAUGAAAGAACUGGUGGAGUUCAAUGUUUGGGAUGAGUGGGUAUGUGGAACCUCAGUUAGCUAAAAGUGAUAUCAAGAAGGAAACCACAUUUUGAUAAUGUAUAGGAGGGAAAUUGGAUCACAAACUGAACUUUGGCUAUGCUCAAACUGUGAAGUUGGAACACGACCUGGGAAUCUCACCAAAUUUAUCACUUUUGAUGGUUUUCAGAUUGCUUGGGCAGCCAGGAUGCCCUUUUAAACUCUCCAUCUGACUGACUGUCGGCAUCCUUUCCUACAGAGCACAGGACUCUGCCGCAGUGAUCCCUUCAUUCAUCAUGCUCAGAUGUGUCUAUUUCAAUGUGUUUUUCUGAAAUGAUAGCAGAAAACCAUGUGGAGACUGCAGCUGGUACCAAAUGCAGUAGCUCACCUCAUGGUACAAGACCAUCUCCAAGAGAACAUUAUUCAGACUCUCGUGUACACAAAGAGAAAACAUCCCUCUGGGAAGAUUAUCUAGCUCACUGCGUGAAUAAUGGAGUAGAAUAUUUUUCCAAAGUGAUAUCGAACUUUCAGAAGGACUCUCAAACAUAUUCAAAUCGCACACAUCAUGCACACGGAACUUUCAAUAGAGCUUGGAUUCUACCAGAAUAUUUUAUUGUUAAAAAUACUGAGAAAUGAAAUAUCAUUUAAGGAAUAUAUUUCAUAUUAACAUCUUUGAAUAUAAACAUGAAUCUUUCCUCUCCUAAUGUGUUUUUGUUCUAAUAUCUGUUGGUGAUUUAGGCUUCAUAGGAGAAGGACAUAUACAAUUUGACUUAUCCCUUUCUCAUUCAUUCAUUAAAUAUUAACCAAGUUCAGUAUCCUCUGUGUGAGAUACAAAAAUGUUCAACACAUAAAAAUAAAUAGACCUUCUAGAAGCUUACAUGCCAGCACAGAAAACAAGAGAAUCACAGAAAUCUCUAUAAUACAAGAUAACAAGCAAUAAGCAUCCUGAGAAAGAUGUCAGUCACUCUCAAUUGAGUCAGAGGAGGCAAUAGAACUCUCUAAAGAUAUUUCUUGCAAAAUCAGUUGUUGAAUUCUUGAAAAUGUGAUGCAUGUGAAAUCAAGCCAACAAUUAAUUGAAGUUGAAGAGGGAUGGAACAAAGUAAAAUGUAUUUUGAUGAUUAUCAUAUGAGUUUUUGAUCAAAUAAUUAAAUAUAUAAUAAAUGAAGAUCUGUAAGUGAAAUAGGAUAUCAGGAUAUGCAUUCAUUAAGUUUUCAACAUCACUCUUUGAAUGGACAUCUAAGGCACUGGCUCUAGGUGCUCAGAUUACAAAGAGCCUCUGGCUCUCUCUUUUUUAGAUGCAUAUGAUCUAAUUGAGAUGAAAAAAUAUAAACAAAUGAAUAAAGUAUUACAGAUUAUGAAAAUGCAUGUAAUGCAGACUGUGGAUUAAGGUCUAGAGUUGUUGACAAUUCUAUUUGUGUGGAGGGAGAGUUAGGAAAGUCUGUAUAGAAUUAACAAAUCUUGACAUGAUUGUGGAUAGAUGAACAGAUGUUCUUUAACUGGUCAGGGUGGUGAAGCUCUUACAGGAAGAGCAAACAAAAGAGAAAAGUUGUGCCAACUUUGCAUAAGCAGAGAGGAUAUAGACCAUGUUGAGAGAGCCUGGUAAAUACAGCAACACUAGCUGUUUGAAGAAAAAGCAAUGGCAGAGGCUGGGCUAUCUUAGGAGAAAAAUGACUGGAGCUGGGAAAAUCUGAGGGGUGCCAUGUGUCAGGACAUCAUAUGUCAUAUUGAAAGGUGUUUAGAAACAAUGGAUGGCUUUAGAUAUGAAGGGUCAAUAAGACUGAAUUUAUUUUGGGGGAUAUCAUGUUGAUUUCAACUGUGGAGGAAAAACACAAGGGAGGAGCAGUAAGAGCAAGGAAACAAUCAUGGAGACUAUUUCAGAAGUGUAGGUGGGCCAUUUUUAGAGAGGAGUCUGCAGUAGCAAUGGAAGAACAAUGGAAGGAGGCUGAAUCAACAAGACCUUGAAAUCCAGUGCACACAAUUUCUAAAACAGGAUGUCUCUAGAUUUUUGACUUGGGUCUCUGCUGUAUAAUAGAAAAUAGAAAAGAAGAAUUAAGCCUACUUAGGGAUAAAAUAAUCCAGCAUAUGAAUGAAAUCUAGAUUAAUAAUGCAAAUUUUACUUGUUUCAAUGCUGAAGAUGUUUACUUUUUUCCUUUCCUUGUAAUAAAUGAAGAUUUUGAGACAUUACAUUUAUAGCACAUAAUCCCAAACCGGCCAUAUAUGCUUUUCUCAGUGAUCCAUUGUGUAUAAUUUCAGUAUUUUAUGUUACAAUUCUAGCUUCCAUUAGUGGCUGUAGAUCUGGUGAGCCCUCAACAUUCAGAAUCAUUAUUCUCCUCUUAAUUUAUAUCAUAAUACACCAAUGAAUGUUUUGUGUAAGUUGGAGGAAAAAAACUCAAGUUCACCAGACCUUUUCUCUUCCUUUAAAGAUUUAUUGGCUUUAUAAAAGGCUUUAUUUCAGCUGGGGAAUUGGCCUGUGUCAUGUGCUGGAUCAUGUUCUUCAUAUAAUGCCCCAUUAACAUUAAAUUAAAGUGACCAACAACAGCAAAAAUGAAAAUCUUAUGAGAAAAAGGCAGUAAAGUGUUUGGGGGAUUAAUUAUGUUUAUUUUAUUUGCACUGCUCUUUAUGAUAUUUUUAAAUGGAAAGAAUUCAAUCUUAAUUCACCAACAAACGGGUAAAAUUUAUCAAUGAAAUCUUUUUAGUGAAUGGAAUAAUUUUUAAAAUCUCAAAAAAAAAAAAAACAGGUCACAGGUUACUGAAAUAUGUUCUGGCUCUAAACUUAUGAAAGAAUGGAGGAGAGGAUAGUGGCAGAUAGAGUUUGUGUCAGUUUGCUUUAACUAUCACUUUAAAUGUUAGGGCACACUUUGUUUUCUUUUUUUUUAAUUUUUUUUUUAUUUGACAGGUAGAGUUAUAGACAGUGAGAGAGACAGAGAGAAAGGUCUUCGUUCCGUUGGUUCACUCCCCAAAUGGCCGCUAUGGCUGGCGCUGCGCCGAUCCGAAGCCAGGAGCCAGGUGCUUCUUCCUAGUCUCCCUUGUGGGUGCAGGGGCCCAAGCACUUGGGCCAUCCUCCACUGCCCUUCCAGGCCACAGUAGAGAGCUGGACUGGAAGAGGAGCAAGCGGGAUUAGACCUCAGUGCCCAUAUGAGAUACUGGCCCCACAGGCAGAGGAUUAACCAAGUGAGCCAUGGCGCAGGCCUCACUUUGUUUUCAGGUAAUGAAAAACAAAUACUGUUAUUUUAUUCUUUUUCUGUAACAUUACCAUUCCCUGCUGUGUUUUUCCUUUGUGAUGUUAAUCACCAUCCAGCCAAUUCUGCAAUGAAUUUAAUCAGGUAAUUGGCCCUUUUAUUUAUUUUAUUCAUUCCAUAAGGAUUCACUGAGUCAGCAAGUGAAUGGUCAGAAAACAAGUAUAUGUUUGUUUAGGAUCUAUGAUUUUGACAAAAGAACAAAAAAUAACAAUCUUGUAUUGGCUAUUAUCAUUUGACCAUCAUACUGGAUUAUCUUCUUAUGAAUUUUUGUCCUUUUAAGCAAAACAAUGAAAUGAGACUAAUACUACCGUAUUUCUAGUUUUCAUGGAUGUAUCACAUGUGUUUGGAAGGAAGAAGUAACUUCCUCCAAUGGACAGUCUUAGGAGAAGUAAGAAUAAAAAAUAGGUUCUGAAAAAGCCAUGAGUGGUGACUGUACUUAAACAUAGCAUGGGGUUACAGCAUGUGGGUCCAAUGAUUUCAGAAAAGAGGCCCAACCUUGUUGACUUUGCCUUUCAGGAAGAAUCAGCUAUAGUUCAAAAAGGGCACGAUUCAUCCAAUUCCAGAAAGAAUACUCAGGUCAUGGGAAUACCACAAUUUUAAAAAGUAUUAAUUAUCUUUAAUUUAAAAGCAGAGAAAGAAACAUAGACAGAAAAAAGCACACACACACACACACACACACACAGAGACAGACAGACAGACAGAUCUUCCAUAGGCUAAUUUAUUUCACAAGCACCUGCAACAGCUAAUGAUGGGCCAAGCUAAAAUCAGGAGCCCAGAACUCAAUCCGGAACUUCCAGAUGUGGGUAGCAUGGUAGCAAGUACCAGAGCUAUCACCUCUUACAGUGUGUAUGAGCAGGAAGUUAGAAUUGGAAACAUAGCCACAGCUUGAACCCUGGCACUCUGACAUGGGUUGUGGGCUUCCCAAGUUGCAUCCUAACUUCUGUGCCAAAGGUCUGCUCCAAGAGUAUCACAACAUGAAUCACAGAGAGGAGGAAACUAGAGAAGUUUACUAGUGUUUGUAUAUCAUCAUUAUACUGUCACCAUAGUCAUUUACACAAUCUGUUACUAUUUGUGUUCAUUAUCUACUGCUAAAUUGAAAAUUACCAUAAAAUUAGUGGUUAAAAAUAACUCCUAUUUUUCAUUUCAUACUUUCUGUGUGAUAGGAAUCCUUGGGUGAGGUGGGUUCUCUGCUUCAGAGGGCUUUUUUUAUAGGGCUGUGAUAAAAUAUUUGACCAGGGAAAGAAAUUCAUCUGAGAUUCAGACUAGGUACAUUCAACUUCAAAUGGUUGUUGGAAGAAUUCAGUUCCUCCUUGAGUAUCAGAUGAGUGGACUCUGAUCCUUGAUGGCCAGAGGCCAUUCUUGGU